GCCCAGGUGGUGGAAUUGGUAUACACACACGGUUGAGGGCCGUGGCCUCUAAGGCAUGCGGGUUCGAGCCCCGCCCUGGGCA
rnacentral:tRNA from 1 species